rnacentral:rRNA from 1 species
UACGGAGGAUCCAAGCGUUAUCCGGAAUCAUUGGGUUUAAAGGGUCCGUAGGCGGUUUGGUAAGUCAGUGGUGAAAGCCCAUCGCUCAACGGUGGAACGGCCAUUGAUACUGCCAGACUUGAAUUAUUAGGAAGUAACUAGAAUAUGUAGUGUAGCGGUGAAAUGCUUGAGAGAUUACAUGGAAUACCGAAUUGCGAAGGCAGGUUGACUACUAAUGGAUUGACGCUGAUGGACGAAGCGUGGCAGCGAACGAGG